AUAAAACAGGUAUUACAAUAAAGGAAGCCACAUGCAUUUUUUGGUUUCCCAUUUACACUACAUUGUUGUCUGUUAAAUGUGCAUAGCACUAUGUCUAAAAAAUGUACAUACCUGUUUUGUCCCACUGAACCCAUAGCUGGAGUUGCCUUAAAAGCAGCAGCAGGAGAAUUCGUACAACAGAGUACCCCAAACCAUUUGAAGACAGGGCUGGUUUGAGAUUUCAAAGAAAGCAGCUCUAAAUGCCAGAGUGAUCAGUCCAAAACAUUUAUUAAAGGAACUUGCAGGGUGUUGCAAUGUAUUAUUGUGAUGGACAGCAAGAGAAAAGGGAUGUUUUACCCACAUUAGUCUGUAGCCAGGGGGUGAGGGGAUGGAGUUUACAUGAAAAUUUAAGGAAUUCGGCUCAGGGUCGGGGUCAGUUUCUUUCCAGUAAACCAAGACAUUAUUAUCAGUGCCUGGGAAUGUUCAAGCUGGUUUGGGUUCAAGCCAGCUGAGGAAAACCUAUGGCUACAGCUGGCUGGGUCACUGUGAUUUUGGUCAAGACACAGAAAGGAAGUGGGGAAAACGGGUACCCUAGAAUACCUUAAUUUAAAAAUACUUUUGCUAAAAAAUGCUAACAGUCAUCUGAGCCUUCAGCAAGUCAUAAUCUUUGCUGUUGGAGAAUCCUGCCUCAGUGAUGAUGGCAGCUGACUGAUCAGGGAGGUAGUUGCUGAAGGUUAAGGUGGCUGUGGCAAUUUCUUGAAAUAAGACAAUGGAGUUUGCUGCAUUGAUGACUCCACAAAAAAUUUCUCUGUAGCAGGCAGUGCUGUUUGAUAGUAUUUUACACACAAGAGAACUCCUUUCAAAGUUGCAAUCAGUCCUCUUAAAACUCACCCACUGCUUUAUCAGCUAAGUUUAUGUGAUAUUCUAAAUCCUUUAUCAUUUCAACAAUGCUUACGGCAUCUUCACCAGCAGUAGAUUCUAUCUCAAGAAACCACUCUCUUUUCUCCUUCAUAAGAAGCAACUCCUCAUUCAUUCAAGUUUGAUCAUAAAAUUGCAGCGAUUUAGUCAACUCUUCAGACUCUGUUUCUAACUCCAAUUGUCUUGCUAUUUUCACCAUAUUUGUAGUGAUUUCCUCCACUGAAGUCUUGAACGCCCUCAAGGUCAUCCAUGAGAGUUGGAGUUAACUUCUUUCAAACUCCUGUUCAUGCUGAUACUUUUACCUCCUCUCAUGAAUGUUCUUAAUGGCAUCUAGAAUCCUUUCCAGAAUGUUUUUGGUUUACUUUGCUUAGAUCCAUCAGAGGAAUCACCAUCUACAGCAAUUUAUAACCUUAUGAAAUGUACUUGUUAAAUAUUAAAACCUGAAAGUCAAAAUUAUUCCUUGAUCCAUGGGUUGCAGAAUGGAUGCUGUGUUAGAAGGCAUGAAAACAAUAUUACUCUCCUUGUACAUCUCCAUCAGAGCAUUUCAGUGACCAUGUGCAUUGUCAAGGAGCAAUAGUAUUUUUAAAUAAAUCACGUUUUAUCAGUAGGUCUCAACAGUGGACUUAAAAUAUUUAGUGAGCCAUGCUAAACAGAUGUGCUGUCAACCAGGUUUUGUUCUUCCACUUAUAGAGCACAGCAGAGUAGAUUUAGCAUAAUUUUUAAGGGUCCUAGGAUUUUCAGAAUGGUAAAUGAACAUCUGCUUCAACUUAAAGUCACCAGCCACAUCAGCCCCUAACAAGAGAACUGCCUGUCCUUCGAAGCUUUGAAGCCAAGCAUUGACUUCUAUAGCUAUGAAAGUCUUGGACAGCAUCUUCUUCCAGUAUAAGACUGUUUUGUCUACAUUGAAAAUCUGUUAUUUAGUGUAGCCACCUUCAUCAAUGUUCUUGGCUAAAUCUUCUCAAUAACUUGCUGCAGCUUCUCCAUCAGCACUUACUGCUUCACCUUUCAUUUUUAUGUUAGGGAGAGGGCUUCUACUCUUAAACCUCAUGAAUCCACCUCUGCUAUCUUCAGACUUUUCUUCUACAACUUCCUCACCUCUCUCAGCCUUCAUAAAAAUGAAGAGAGUUAAGGCCUUGCUCUGAAUUAGGCUUUGACUUAAGAGAAUGCUGUGGCUGGUUUUCUAUCCAGAACUCUAAAACUUUCUCCUUAUCAACAAUGAGGCUGUUUCACUUUCUUAUCAUUCCUGUGUUCACUGGAGUGGCACUUUUAACUUCCUUCAAGAGCUUUUCCUUGGCAUUCACAACUUGACUGUUUUGGGUAUGAGGCCUAGUUUUCGGCCUAUCUCUGCUUUCAACUUGCCUUACUCAGCUUAAUCAUUUUUAGCUUUGAUUUAAAGUGAGAGAUGAAUGACUCUUCCUUUCACUUGAACACUCAGAGGCCACUGUAGGGUUAUUAAUUGGCCUAAUUUCAGUAUUGCUGUGUCUCACUGAGGGACUGGCCCAUCAGCGGAGCAGUCAGAAUAUAUUCAACAUUUAUCAAAUAAGUUUGCCAUCUUAAAUGGGUACAGUUUGUGGUGGCCCAAAACAAUUCCAAUAACAAUAUCAAAGAUCACUGUUCACAAAUUGCCAUAACAAAUGCAAUAAUAAUUUAAAAGUUUGAAAUAUUGGGAGAAUUACCAAGAUGUAACACAGAGACAUGAAAUGAGCACAUGCUAUUGGAAAAAUGGCUCUGAUAGACUUGCUCGACAAAAAGCUGUCACAAACCAUCAUUUUGUUAAAAAAAAAAAACAAUAUUUGCAAAGCACAAUAAAUGAAGGUAUGCCUGUAUACUACAUAUUUAUUUUUAAUAAUCAUAUAAGAAAAUUAAUUGGAUAUAAAAUAGGCUGUUCUAAAACAGCAAGAGGGAAAUAAACUUUAACAAUGCUGACAGCAGCCAUGGCAUACUUGAAUUUUUAGGACUCUUGUUAAAUAUGGGUAUGGGAACUUACCCUCUGCACUAGUAUCCAGACACUUACUAGAUUAUGGCCCAUUGGGGUAUUUGCCUCUAUUACAUAUAUUUGCUAGACUGUCAUUAUACCUUGCAAUCUAGUGUCUUUUUCUAGGUUGAUAUUGUCACGUUUAAUCUAUUAUGGCAAUGAUAUUACUCUUGCUAUGUUAAAUGUUUUUAUCAGACUUCCUUGUAGCCCCAACCAAUCUGAGAAGAUUGAAAAUCAAGGAAUCCUUCACUCCUUUUGUAAACUUGGUAAAAUGGAAUCAAUGUUUACUAGAUCUGCUGUUCUUGUGAAGAUUUCUCUGUUCUUCUUCAUCAAGAUUUGCCAAUCUUCCUCUGCACUCUUGCCUUCUGCAGUCUUUCCUCUUCCAUAAAAAUAUCGCUUAUAAUAUUCUUUUUUUGAAAUGAAGUCUCACUCUGUCUCCCAGGCUAGAGUGCAGUGCCAUGAUCUCGGCUCACUGCAGCCUCUGCCUCCCAGCUUUCCAGUGAUUCUCCUUCUUCAGCCUCCCAAGUAACUGGGAUUAGAGGUGCCUGCCACCAUGCCCAGCUAAUUUUUUGUAUUUUUAGUAGAGAUGGGUUUCACCAUGUUGACCAGGCUGGUCUUGAACUCCUAACUCCUAAUCUCAGGUGAUCCACCCACCUUGGUCUCCCAAAGUACUGGGAUUACAGGCAUGAGCCUGUAUGCCACCAUGCUCAACUUCCUUAUAAUAUUCUUCUAGUCUUAUUUCCCAACUGCUGGCUUUUAUAUUUUGAAUUGUCAAUAGAAAGCCCUGCCUAUCGUGAUGAGGUUAAGGACACAUGUUUUGCUGAGAGAAGUAACUUCCAGCUGAGAAUCUUGUUUAGCAGGAGAGAAAAUCCUCUAUUUUAGAGCCUCUCCUGGAGCUUAGAGUAAGCAUUGGCUUUUAGAGGUGUUUUCUCCCUUUUUGAUGUCUGGAAGCACUAUUUUCAAGUCUGUUAGAGACCCACUUUAAAUAAGUACAGGUGCUAAUGCUCUGAGUGCAAGUCUGUAAGGGUUAGUGAGUCCUCAAAUCACAGAAGUCUCCUGACCAAUGCUGGGAUGUUCUACUGUUCUCCAAGAAUCUGCAGCUUAAAAGUAUUAAACUAAAUACAGCAGACACCCUCAGCAUAGCAGUGAACCACAAUGGCAGCUGACAAGCAGGAACAUUUAAUGGAUUGGUCAGCAAGACCACACUUAUAUCUUGUUUAAAAUGUGUCCUUUCCUUUGGGAGACUGAGGCAGGCAGAUCUCUUGAGGUCAGGAGUUCAAAACUAGCCUAGUCAACAUGGAGUUUUCUAAAAGUACAAACAAAUUAGCCAGGUGUGGUGGCAGGUGGCUGUAAUCCCAGCUACUUGGGAGGCUGAGGCAG
rnacentral:lncRNA from 10 species